rnacentral:rRNA from 1 species
GACGAACGCUGGCGGCGUGCUUAACACAUGCAAGUCGAACGGAAAGGCCCUGCUUUUGUUGGUUUCUCGUUUGGCGAACGGGUGAGUAUCACGUGAGUAACCUGCCCUUGUCUUUGGGAUAUCUUCAGGAAACUGGGGCUCAUACCGGAUAGGAGCUCCUGCUGCAUGUUGUGGGUUGGAAAGUUUCGGCUGUUGGGGAUGUACUCGCGGCUUAUCAGCUUGUUGGUGUGGUAGUGGCUUACCAAGGCUUUGACGGGUAGCCGGCCUGAGAGGGUGACCGGCCACAUUGGGACUGAGAGACGGCCCAGAAUCCUACGGGAGGCAGCAGGGGGGAAUAUUGCACAAUGGGCGGAAGCCUGAGGCAGAAACGCCGCGUGCGGGAUGACGGCCUUCGGGUGGUAAACAGCUUUCGAAUGUGACGAAGAGGGAGUGACGGUAAUGGGUAAAGAAGCACCGGCUAACUACGUG